UACGGAGGGGGCUAGCGUUGUCCGAAGUUACUGGGCGUAAAGCGCGUGUAGGCGGUCCGGUAAGUCCGCUGUGAAAGUCGGGGGCUCAACCCUCGGAUGCCGGUGGAUACUGUCGGGCUUGAGUACGGAAGAGGCGAGUGGAAUUCCUGGUGUAGCGGUGAAAUGCGCAGAUAUCAGGAGGAACACCAAUUGCGAAGGCAGCUCGCUGGGACGUUACUGACGCUGAGACGCGAAAGCGUGGGGAGCAAACAGG
rnacentral:rRNA from 1 species